CGUGUAGGCGGGUUGGUAAGUCGAGUGUGAAAUUCCAAAGCUCAACUUUGGGACUGCACUUGAAACUACCGAUCUGGAGGAUUGGCGGAGAAAAUGGAAUUCCACGUGUAGCGGUGAAAUGCGUAGAUAUGUGGAAGAACACCGGUGGCGAAAGCGGUUUUCUAGCUUAUUCCUGACGCUGAGGCGCGAGAGCAAGGGGGAGCAAACA
rnacentral:rRNA from 1 species